UCCCUGGUGGUCCAGCGGGUAAGACUCCGCACUCCUGAUGCAGGGGGUCCGGGUUCGAGCCCUGGUCAGGGAA